GAAAAAACCAAGAAUAUGAAUCCCUGCAGUCACGAAUGCUUUACAUCACAAUUUACCCUAACAUGGUUUAAUUCUGGUUGGACGUAGUUUUUCAGACAGGAUACUUUACAUUCUGCUGUGUAUUACCAAUGUUGCAACUAUGUAAAAAUGGAUUUUUUUUUAGAAUUUGCUAUUUCUUGUCCACAAAUUAAUCAUAACGAUGUUAAGAGCUGUUGUACAGGGUGGUCCAGGUGUCUUGUGACCCCCAUUUCAUUCUCUAAAACUGAAUAUUUUUAAAGUAAGGUUUAUUUCAAACAAAAAUGAAGAUGCAAAGGAAAAAUAAGUUCGGGGUCAAUGAAUUGGGAGUCACAUCUGGACCACGCUGUACAUUCACAGUUAAACGUAAGAGGCCGAAUUGGAAAUAUAUAUAUAACUUGAGCUUGCCCGAAGCGGCAUAAAAAGGGGCACAAAGAAGUGUUCACAAAUCCUUGCGAUGGGUUUUAUAUAUUGGCGAUGACAAUAUACUUAUGAUCAGACGAAAAUGUGUAUUAAAGUUGGGGUUUAGUUGUAAAUGUAACGUGAUGUAAAGUUCGGUGUGUUAUAUUGGAAAGGCCCAAUUUUACUUGGGUGCACGUGAGUGGUAUGUAUAACUAUCUAAAGCCACGUGCGUUUGAGUUCAUAUUGCUCCACAGGCCAGGUGGAGAGCAAAUGUGUGCGCUUCAAAAUGGACCGGGGGAGAUUUGAAAACAGAGCUGCGACCACAAUUUAAAUCCCCCGUUACAUGCUCCAUUAAGUGGUCGCUCCUGCAAGUUCCUCCCAAGAGCCUGAUGCAUUGGUCAUCCAACCGCGUGAAGAGUAGCAAACCGUCGUGCCUCAAGAAAUGACAUUUUCAACCACUCUACUCGGUGUGAGAUACGUUGCAGAAAACGUGGUUACGUCAAGAACCAUGCGUGGAAUUUAACUGAGAAACAAAGAGAAAGAACACGUGGAUUAAUAGAACAUACGCGAGUCAAUGACGCUGUUCGAACUGUUGAGAAAAGCAAGAGGGUUUGGGCACGACACGGCAUGGCUAGCAGGGCCGACGGCCGACGGAGUGACAGCCAUUGGAGAUGCAAACGCGUCCCGAGAGGACGUCAACCGUCAGCCAACGUGGCGGAACGAUUAGAGCGGCCCGCGUGCAGGUGCUGACGUAGAUUGUUACACCUGUAGUGACAUCACGGGAUGUCAACGUGCAGUGCCGGCCCUAGAGAGGCACGGCGUGCGGUGUAGCGACAUCGCGGAUACCACAGUGGUGAGGGUGUAGUACCGACCCUAGAGGGGCCCGGUGAGCACUGAUUGAUAGCGCUAGUUGGCACCACGCUAGGCGUGCAGUGCCAACCCUACAGGACAGGGUGUGUGAGUGCCCGCCGAAGGAUAAGGUUUCUAAAGGCCAUGGCACUCUGGUUGACCAGGGAGGACACGUGACCAGUCAAGCCUACAAAGGGGCCCCAAGUGGGUGCUAGGGGUGGUCACGUGGUUGGGACCC